AGACCCGAAACCCGGUGAUCUAGCCAUGGGCAGGUUGAAGGUUGGGUAACACUAACUGGAGGACCGAACCGACUAAUGUUGAAAAAUUAGCGGAUGACCUGUGGCUGGGGGUGAAAGGCCAAUCAAACCGGGAGAUAGCUGGUUCUCCCCGAAAGCUAUUUAGGUAGCGCCUCGUGAAUUCAUCUCCGGGGGUAGAGCACUGUUUCGGCUAGGGGGCCAUCCCGGCUUACCAACCCGAUGCAAACUGCGAAUACCGGAGAAUGUUAUCACGGGAGACACACGGCGGGUGCUAACGUCCGUCGUGAAGAGGGAAACAACCCAGACCGCCAGCUAAGGUCCCAAAGUCAUGGUUAAGUGGGAAACGAUGUGGGAAGGCCCAGACAGCCAGGAUGUUGGCUUAGAAGCAGCCAUCAUUUAAAGAAAGCGUAAUAGCUCACUGGUCGAGUCGGCCUGCGCGGAAGAUGUAACGGGGCUAAACCAUGCACCGAAGCUGCGGCAGCGACACUGUGUGUUGUUGGGUAGGGGAGCGUUCUGUAAGCCUGCGAAGGUGGCCUGUGAGGGUUGCUGGAGGUAUCAGAAGUGCGAAUGCUGACAUAAGUAACGAUAAAGCGGGUGAAAAGCCCGCUCGCCGGAAGACCAAGGGUUCCUGUCCAACGUUAAUCGGGGCAGGGUGAGUCGACCCCUAAGGCGAGGCCGAAAGGCGUAGUCGAUGGGAAACGGGUUAAUAUUCCCGUACUUGGUGUUACUGCGAAGGGGGGACGGAGAAGGCUAUGUUGGCCGGGCGACGGUUGUCCCGGUUUAAGCGUGUAGGUGUGUGUUCCAGGUAAAUCCGGUUCACUUUAACACUGAGGCGUGACGACGAGGCACUACGGUGCUGAAG
rnacentral:rRNA from 1 species